UGGUGGAGGCGGCGGGAGUCGAACCCGCGUCCGAAAACAUUCCACACAGGCAUCUACAUACUUAUCCCGAAUUUUGAUUGUCGGCUUUCAAAUCUCC
rnacentral:tRNA from 1 species